rnacentral:rRNA from 1 species
CAGUAGCCGCGGGAAUACGAAGGGGGCUAGCGUUGCUCGGAAUUACUGGGCGUAAAGGGAGCGUAGGCGGACAUUUAAGUCAGGGGUGAAAUCCCAGAGCUCAACUCUGGAACUGCCUUUGAUACUGGGUGUCUUGAGUGUGAUAGAGGUAUGUGGAACUCCGAGUGUUGAGGUGAAAUUCGUAGAUAUUCGGAAGAACACCAGUGGCGAAGGCGACAUACUGGAUCAUUACUGACGCUGAGGCUCGAAAGCGUGGGGAGCAAACAGGAUUAGAUACCCCAGUAGUCCCUGUCUCUUAUAC